GAUGAACGCUGACGGAAUGCUUAACACAUGCAGUCACUGAAUGGGGCGGACGGGUGAGUAACGCGGAACGAGCGUGCCACACGGGAAGGGCCUACAUUUGGAAUCGAAUGCUAAUCCCUAAUCCUGUGAGAGAGCUUUGCGUCUCAUAAGCUAGUUGGUGCGGUAACGGCUCACCAAGGCGAUGAUGGGUCGCCGGCCUGAGAGGGUGAUCGGCCACAAGGGGGCUGAGACACAGCCCUUACACCUACGGCGGGAAGCAGUGGGGGAUAAUAGACAAUGGACGAGAGUCUGAUCCGGCAAUACUGUGUGCAAGAUGAAUUGUUCGGAAUGUAAAGUGCUUUUAGUUAGGAAGGGGUACCAACGAAAGAGGUGACGCCUAAAACCGUGCCAGCGGCGCCGUAAUAC
rnacentral:rRNA from 1 species